CGAGAUUCCCCCAGUAGCGGCGAGCGAACGGGGAGCAGCCCAGAGCCUGAAUCAGUGUGUGUGUUAGUGGAAGCGUCUGGAAAGGCGUGCGAUACAGGGUGACAGCCCCGUACACAAAAAUGCACAUAUUGUGAGCUCGAUGAGUAGGGCGGGACACGUGGUAUCCUGUCUGAAUAUGGGGGGACCAUCCUCCAAGGCUAAAUACUCCUGACUGACCGAUAGUGAACCAGUACCGUGAGGGAAAGGCGAAAAGAAC
rnacentral:rRNA from 1 species